UGUCAAACGAAUACUAAUAGCCAGACAAGAUUACAAGAAACUUUUUAUAAUCCCACAUGGGCCAAAACGGCUCACAAAAAAAUGACACGCCUCGCAGAGUGAUAUUCUCAGACAGGGAAUAAGGCAGCAGAGGUGAGCACGAGGCAGGUUAAUUAGGAAAUCAAUUAUGACUUUUAUCCUGAAAUUGAUGGGUUGAUAUAAUGCUAAAAAAUGCUAACAAAAUGACCAUACCGUCCCCAAAACCUAGAUUAAAAUAAAUAUUCAGAGCUUUAUAUGAGCUUCCAUGUCUCUCAGUGUAUGCGUAAUUUUUUUUCUUAGAGGGUGGAGACAAAAAAACCAGACCUGCAUCGUGUCAUAACGGGGAGGGUCUUGGUGGUGCCGCUAUAUGCUUUUAAGCAAGCUGUUUAAAGUUCAUAAUGCAUCUGACGCAAGGAAUAGAGAGUGCGAUGAACGGCGCGGAGGGGGGGGGGGGGGGAGCCACCCCCGAGAGGAAUAAUGGGGAUGAUAAAGCGGGGGGGAAAACCCGUUGGAGGGAAGCUGAAUGGAUGGAGCUAGAGAGACGUCACUGCCAGCAGCAGCCAUGAAGACAGUCCGGUCCAGCCUCCGGCGAGUCAGUUGCUCUCAAUCUCCCGAGACGCUCGCUUCUCGGUUCGGGAGAGCAGAUGCCGCAGAGGCUUGCAAGCGAUGGCGUCAUAAUUUGGCCCAUGUUUCUAUACCUGCUUUUUAAGAAGAUGGGAAGCCUUCGGGGUUGAUUGUUAUCUUUGGUUAUCUAGCUGUAUGAGUGAUGUACAUUCUUCAUAAAGCUAGAUAACCGAAAGUAACAAGAAUCCCAUUACACUCCUGUAAAGGCAUCGUGACAUCUCCCUCACAAAAAAGACAAAAAGGAAAUCCCUAAGACAAGGGUGGACAACAGUCUAAAGAAGAUGGAAUGAAAAAGCUGCCGUAGGUAAGUUACACUACUUUUACUGCAAAUAUUUUGAAUAAAUGCCUAUAUUUAACUAUUAUGAGCAAUUAAAAACUAGAAGUAGUGAACAUUUUCUGCAGCUCAGUGAUUCAUAAAAGUAAGGUUGGUGCAACAGGAUCACUUUUAAUCUAAUAAGCUCCAUGAUCCCUGUGUGUGGCUGCAUGCAGGGGCUUAGUAUCACAUGGCCAGUUGGAAAAAAAAAGACCCACACUGACUCGCUAAAGCCAGUGGACAGGUCGUUUAAUACGUCUGUGUUGGCAAACCAGUUUCACUAACCAGUUGGGCCAACAAUCUGUUUUGUCCUCAUAAAUGUCAGGUUUUAUCUUUGGCAUCAAAAGAACUAAAAAAAAAGAGGAAAGCUUCUUAUCCAUGCAUGUAGCUAUGAAUUAUACAUUUAUUCUAGAUUGGAGGUAACCGUGUGAGUUAAGAAAGCUCCUUUUGAGUUAAUCUGGAAUCCCAUGGCGGUAGCUAAAGUGAAGUGGCACGAUUUUUCAGUCUAGUUUUGUUAACUUCUCUGCUGUUGAUUUCUUCCCCCUCAUUCCCACCUACCCCUUUCACACUUUUGCAUGAAAAGAUGUUUAGUUUGGGGUCGUGGGUGUUGUUUGAUUUGAUGUGACAGUUGGCUUGGUUUUGAAUGGGCCGUAGCAAAGCCUUUAUUGCUCGUGGUGCUUCCAUGUGGAAAGGCCUUAUGGGAUCUCACUGAAUGCUGAUGUGUGUGCAUGCAAAGCUCAGAGGGGGUGUGGUCCAGGAGCAAUCAAGCAGAAAAAACCCCCAGUGCCAAGAUCCAUGAGCGGUAGAAGGAGAACAAUCUCAGCUUUCAGGGUCUUUACCGGAGCUCACGGUGAGGCGUAAUUGGUCAAUCAGAUCUUCAACCUCAAGGCCUCCGAUGGCUGAUUGAAGGUGUGAUUUUUGUCCUGCCCAUCAAAGCCAAAGGGUCGCUCCUGCUGAGUUAGGCCGCUCAGGAUUGUUCUCAAGGUCCCAAGGCUGCAGCUCUAUAGUGUUAGCAGCGAACUCCAAUUGCGAAACAUAUUCCACUUGGUUUCACCACAGUUUUGCUGAAAAAUCUCCCCCUUGGGUGUAAAUAUAUUCAGCUUGACACCAAACAAAUUCCAGAGCUUGUGUGGCAGCCAUAACUGGCAAUACUUCUUCAGGCCCUGCAGCCUUUCUUCCUGCUGCAUUGCAGGUGCUGAGUGUGACAUUUGGGUUUAAGGCUUGGCUAGGAGAGGAGAGGAACCUUAGGGUCUUGACAGGAAGUGGCAGCUAGACAUGUCAUCGUCUUUGAUGGCAAAGCAACACCUGGUUUCCUCUUUAGAUGUGUUGCUGUUUGGUUCUUCACAGACACGUCUGAAUGGGUGCAAAAAGAAAAUAAAAGGUCGCAUCAAAGAAAUAGGUUGACAUUUUUUCGUGUCACUAACGGUGUAUGUCUGAGUGAGAGCUAAAGCCAAGAACAGAUUGUGUUUAUACCCUAAGCAGUGCCCCGGGAGAUGCAUGUCGUGGUCCAAAUGCUUUGUUCCGUCUUUGUGUGUGGCACAGUUAUAUCGCUAAAACUUCUCGCUGGGGAGCACAGAAAAGGGACCGUCUUGGCUCCCGCCUGCCUGAAAAUGAGUUCCUAAAAACACCUUAGGGUCUUUGCUCUCAGUCCCUCUUUUUGUAUGUCCCUUGGCAGUGUCUGAAAUAGAAAGAAGGCUCAUGGAGAAAUGAUGGAGAAGGAAAGAAGCCAGAAAGAGGAAGGAGAGGGAGGAGGGUGGUGGAUUUGUCUUAGCUUUCAUGCACUAGGAAAGCAGAUUUAGACUCUUAGUGUUAAAUAGAAAACAGCCAUUGUGGGUAGAUCCUGCUCGCCCCCCCUACCAGUAGACUUUACAGU
ensembl:lncRNA